rnacentral:lncRNA from 1 species
UUCAAACCAUCCCAGAACCUAGAGUCACAAGUGCAUGAGCAUCUACUGACAAGAGAAAUAAUAUACAACAUUCAUUCGGAAUACAAUGGACGAAAAUUAAAUACAAUACAAAGGAAGGGACUACUCUAGCUGCGGCCGUCUCGAAUGAUGCAACUCACCUAGUCCCAGAAUCAUCCGAAUUGCUAUGCCUAGCCGACCGCAGGGUCACAUAUACCUGUUCAACAAAAUGCACACCAAGUGUACUGUGAGUACAAAAGCAAUGUGUACCCAAUGAGUGUCCCGCCUAAUCCCGAAGGGGUAGAGAUGAGAUGGUCAACUUUGACACUCACUAGUAGUCAAAUAAUUAUUUAUCCUUAAUAAAUAUAUUAAAAAAUAAAUUUGAUUUAUAAAUAUGAUUCUAAUCCAGAUAGAGGAAGCAAGAAAACAGAUAAUUCUUUCAUGAAAAAUUUCAUUAGAUAUCUUGUUAUUAUUAACAAUAUGAUCUCGAGCCAUAGCGAGGCAUAAAACAACUCAAAUGAGUCCAUGAAGCAAUACAAGCAUGCGCAAAUUAUAUCGAGGUUGAAGGUCCGCUCCAACAGAAAUAAAUGUGCACUUGUCGAGUCGACAGCGCGCCUAUAGAUGCAUCUAUUAAUCUGCCGAGGCGUUUGGCCCGUUCCAAAAUAAACACACAGACAGACAAUUAGUCGAGAAGUCAACAUGGAGCAAAUAUCCAAGAAAGGUCAAUUCCCUUUAAUAAUUUGAGAAAACAAAGCUUAAGUCUUUUUUAGAAAUCCAUUUAUUAAUUUAAUGUGAUUCAAGCAAUUCAACCCAUCAAUGAGUCCACAAUUUAUCCAAGUAUAACAUUAUUUUGUGUUCUAGACUAUCCGGACUAUAGCAUAAUAGCAGCUACACACGAACUCUCGUCACCUCGUGCGUACGUAGCCCCUCACAAUUAGGAGCAUAUAAUCAAUUUAACUCACAUAUGGGGUACAUUCCCCCUCACAAGAUUAGAAACGAGACUCACCUUGCUUUGAAGCGCUCUUUCAAUAAUAAGAAUAGGCUCGAAUCUCAAUUCGAAGCCGAACGAGCACCAACUAGUUAAAUAAAGCAAGAACUAGUCAAUAAGUGCUCACAAAGUUGAAUUUUAACUAACUCAAGUGAUUUCCCAACUUUUCCCGCAAGUUCCUAAAUUCCGGCCUCGGGCCCACGUGCCCGGAUUCCGAGAUUUUUCGAAGGAAAUUAUCCUCUGUAGCCAAAGAAUUACUAAUAUGUAACUUUUAGUUCAUUACAUAGCUAAUUAGGUGGUUAAAUUUUAAUUUUUUAUGAAAACCCGAGGUCUAGCUCCAACCUUUGAUUUUAUUUGAUUAUUAGUGUUAAAUCUAUCUAAUGUUCGUGUAUUUAAACUAAGAAUGAGUGGGGAUUAUUUACUUUGUGAUGUUAUAUUGAAACUCCCUCCUUGGAACCACCAAAAUUGCCCAAGAAUUGAAUGAGAAAUGAGAGAAAUGGCUUUGGGUUCGAAUUAAAUGAACCCUUGUGCCCAGCUGUUUCCGCUUCUGCGGUCCCGCAUCGGCGGAAAAGAAACCGCUUCUGCGGAAAUUGGGAAGGCUGGGUCGGACCGCUUCUGCGAUCUAGGGGUCGCAGAGGCGGAACCGUUUCUGCGAUUUCUGGGCCGCUUUUGCGGUUUCCCAGUCUUGUCCCCUUCUUCGCUUCUGCGGAUAGGCGACCGCUCUUAUGGUCUUGCUUCUGCAGUUCAAGCAUAGUAGAAGCGGUUAUGAUAGAAGCAGCAGGUUUGGUUCUUUUUAAAGUUCAAACUUCACUAGAGCCUCGACAAAUGUACGCUUGGGGCUCCCGAGUCCCGCCCGAACAUACCGACAAGUAUGAAAUCAUGAGGCGGACCUAGUCGAACCCUCGAAACAUCUAAAACAAUGCAAAAACCGUGAAUUACACCCCGAUUCAAGAUUUAUGAAUUUUGAACUUUCCAUCUUCUACUUCUGAUGUUUAAACCUAUCAUAUCAUGUCUGAUUCACCUCAAAUGUUGCACACAAGUCAUAUUUGACAUUACGAACCUACUCCAACUUUCGGAAUCAGAUUCCGACCUCAAUAUCAAAAAGUCCACUUCCGGUCAAACUUCCCAAAAACCUUCAAAUUUCUAUCUUUAGCCAAAUGAGUCCAAAAUAACCCGCGGACCUUCGAAUUCACUUCUGAUCGUGCUCCCAAUACUAGAAUCACCAUACGAAAAAUCCCAGACUCAGAAUCCCAAACGGAUAUUCAAAACGACCUACAGACCUCCGAAUUUACUUCCGACCGCGCUCCCAACUCCAGAGUCACCAUAUGGAGAUACUCCCACUCUCGGAAUCCCAAACAGACAUCGAUAAUUCUGAAAUGCACUUCAAGCCAAACUUAAGAAAUUUCUUCCAAAAUGCUAACUUCCACAAUGGGCGCCAAUACGCUCCCGUUUUAUCCAAAACCCGCAUCGGGCAUAGGCACAAGUCCGAAAUCAUCAUACGAAUCUGAUGGAACCUUCAGGUCCCGAUUAUGAGGUCGUUUACUCAAAAAUCCAAUCCGAGUUCAUUCUUUCAACUUAAUGCUUCUCAAAUGGGAAUUUUCAUUUAAAUUUAACUCCGAUCUUUCUGAAUUUUAAUUCUGACCGUGCGUACAAGUCAUAUCACCUGAAAUAAAGCUGCUCAUGGCCUCAGACUACUGAACAACGCGCUAGAGCUCAAAACGGCCGGUCGGGUCAUUGCAUUUUAUUAUAAAUAGUAUUUGAAAAGAUAAUGUGUGUACAUUACACCGAUACAUUGGGUCCAUGUGCACCCAAAUACAAUGAAGUUAAUGUGUAAAUGCAGUUCACCAAAACAGUUAGCCACGAGCAGCUCACCUACUAGAGUUAAGUUGCUUUUUGAUUGUUUCUCUAAUCUUUUGAUCACUAAAUUUAUUAUUUCAAAAAAUAUCUAGGAUACAUGAAACUUGAAAAUUGAAAGAGGAAAAGGGAACACAAGUGGCCCGUCAAAUAUAAGGAAGAGGUUAUACUAUUUUGAAGAUUUUGAGAAGCGUUUUACUACUUACUGUCCAUAUGACAUUUAUGAACCAAUUCAGGAGGAAGCCCUUCACCAGGGCAUAGAAUCCUAUAUCAAAAACACGAAAGGAAAAAAGAGAGUAUAUUUACUAGUUAAGGUAGUAUAGCACACCAAAGAGCACGCAACUGCUGAAACUUUAAAACCACUACAACUCAAUUUUCUGAUCUGAGGCCAAAAUUAAACUCUAGAAAAAACAAAGUGCAACCUAGAAUACAGUAAAACACUGGCAGGGUGAAUAUGUUUCGGGGUCCAUUUUGGCCCAAGUCAACCCCAAGAAAGCUAAUAAAGUGAUACCUAGGAUGCUACAAAAACACAAACCCUACAGAAGUGUACUUGAUUGGGGAUAUAUUUUAUAUCUCUAAUGAAAAAUGUUUGACUAUUAAGUACCACACAAAAAACAUGAAAAAAUAUAUAAGAUUAAACUUCAAAAUCAAAAGAUUAAGGUUAUGCUUCUGCUAACUCCUAUAUUUGUGUUGAGAUAUAGUAUUUUAGUUAUAAAGGCCACCAACGUUGUUGUCUAUAAGUCAAUGAAAGGCAAUAGAAGAAGGCAGUAAUGAUACAAAUGAAUGAGAGGUGACGUAUGAAGAGAAAUAGACGGGUAAACUCUAUAGGUGGAGAAAAGGUGCAAGUCUAAAAUGCACCUUCCACUUAAGCUUGAAUGUUAUAGCCUUUACCCAUAAUAGGUUGUAGUACAUAGCACAUGUUAAAUUUUCAGCUCAGAUAUUUUCUACAAGUCUAAGCCAUUUGCAAUAAUCAAGGUUUCGGGUUCUCUGGACCAAGUCACCGUGAACUACAUACCUUAUAGAAAAAGAGUUACAAGAGUGUCUUUAAGAUUCUCUUUAAUUUUAUUAACUUAGAUCAAAAGUACCUAUGACAUGAAAUAACACGAACCAAAGAGGCUAUCCAAAAGAACUCACGAACCAAAGAGGCUAUCCUAAGAGUUCUCUUUCUACUCGCUAUUUGCCAGAUUCACAACAUCUUAAGAGUUGGUGACCCUUUAAUCUGUCAAAACCCAUAACAUCAAUAAAGCAGAACCAAACCAACACAAGAGCGAUGGAAGAAUAUAUGUUAGCGCUAGAUACUUGAAAUAAAUAGUGCUAGAUACUUGAAAUAUAUGUUAGCAAUAAAUAAUACUGAUAAAAGAACAAACAAAAAACAAAAUCUUUACACCACAUAUUCGAAUAUAUACUUGCAGGAAAAUUUCCAACAUUUUUUAGUAUGUGCGCAACCAAAGCUUACUCUGCAGAAUGUUGUAACUCAUUAGUGAUCAGAACAAAGUACAGAGAUAGAGUUAGAGUUGUAUCAAAUAAUUCCAAGUUUUUUAGAACUAAUUACUCCUUAGAUACCUAAUUAUGUUUUAAUCUUUCUCUUUUUAAUGCUUAAUAAGUACUACCAUAGGCCGAAGCACUUCCUAAGCACUAUCUAUUUCUAGUUAAAUUAACUCGGGCUGCAUAAUCAGAAGAGCUUGAAGGGAAAAAGGAUAACUAGAGAAACCAAUUUCAACAUACGAAACAAUAGAACAUCCUGGUUUACAUAUCUAAAAUUCGAAACGACCAGCAGUCAUUCUGAUUCUAGAUUUGACGAAUACACUUUACUGAGAGUACAUCUGAUCUAAGUAAAGAAAACCAAACAAAAAUUCACAAAUUACAUUAAAAAAAUCAGCUUUUUCACAAACAAUGAAUUUACUCCACAAUGCCAAAUCAGCCAUCACUUAUUAACACACACACACGACAUAAAUCAUAAAACCCCGCAUACUCUAACAACAGAUAUUUAUUUCAUAAAUAAAAAAGAAAAAACUUACACUUUUUCAACAAUAUUAGAUGUCAAGCUAAAUAUAUCAACAACUACUCAGGUUAUAAAGUGUUAACUGAGAACUUACUCACCUAUUUUUGGACAGGAGAUAUGAAGUAUAUCACUUUGAAUGAUGGUCGAAAAUUUUGCCUUGACUAGCAUAACACAACAGUGCUGGAUCCUAAAAACUAUAUAAAAUUAAGAGAACAACAUUAAUUUUUAAACCUAGGUUUUAAACAGUAUAAAAUCCCUAAAAUUCGAAGUCUUCUGGGGGAAAUCAAUAAGAAAAAAGGAGAUCGGGUAAGAGAGAGCGAACGAGAGGGGGAGAGAUAGAGAGAGAUCGACUUACGUGGAAUUGAAUCAGAACUCGUCUCUGCGGCGUGGAGUGAGAGAGACGGGGGAAAGACUUGAGAGAAAAAUUGUAAAACGUUAAAAAUAUAAAGUUUCCCACAAACUGGUUGUAUGACAUUAAGGUCUUUCAAAACUAAAAAAAAUUAUUGCAUUUUAUAUAUUUCUCCUGGGAAAGUUUUGUGGGAAAGCUUUUUGGUAAUUAUAAAAAAA